rnacentral:rRNA from 1 species
UACGUAGGGGGCCAGCGUUGUCCGGAUUUAUUGGGCGUAAAGAGCGUGUAGGCGGCCAGGUAGGUCUGCUGUGAAAACUCGAGGCUCAACCUCGAGACGUCGGCGGAAACCAUCUGGCUAGAGUCCGGAAGAGGAGAGUGGAAUUCCUGGUGUAGCGGUGAAAUGCGCAGAUAUCAGGAAGAACACCCGUGGCGAAGGCGGCUCUCUGGGACGGUACUGACGCUGAGACGCGAAAGCGUGGGGAGCGAACAGG